rnacentral:rRNA from 1 species
UACGAAGGGGGCUAGCGUUGCUCGGAAUCACUGGGCGUACAGGGUGCGUAGGCGGGUCUUUAAGUCAGGGGUGAAAUCCUGGAGCUCAACUCCAGAACUGCCUUUGAUACUGAGGAUCUUGAGUACGGGAGAGGUGAGUGGAACUGCGAGUGUAGAGGUGAAAUUCGUAGAUAUUCGCAAGAACACCAGUGGCGAAGGCGGCUCACUGGCCCGUAACUGACGCUGAGGCACGAAAGCGUGGGGAGCAAACAGG